UACGAAGGGGGCUAGCGUUGUUCGGAAUUACUGGGCGUAAAGGGCGCGUAGGCUGUGCUGUAAGUCAGGCGUGAAAGGCCCGGGCUCAACCUGGGAAUGGCGCAUGAUACUGCGGCGCUGGAAGGCGGGAGAGGAUGGCGGAAUUCCCAGUGUAGAGGUGAAAUUCGUAGAUAUUGGGAAGAACACCGGUGGCGAAGGCGGCUAUCUGGCCCGUAAUUGACGCUGAGGCGCGAAAGCGUGGGGAGCAAACAGG
rnacentral:rRNA from 1 species